UUUAAUUUAAUACACAGGUCAGAAACCCAAAACAAAAGUUAGAAGCUAACAGAAGUGUAAAUUCAUCAAAUCAUAAAGAUAUUGCUUUAUUGCAGCCAAUUUAGCUCGUCCCUGUCAAAUUGUGAAGAAAAGCCAGCCAGUCUUCCGGAAUUGUGUUCUGCCUAUAUAUUGAGUAGCUGCCAGACAAAAUUGGCUUUCAGCACAGAUUGACCGGCUCCGAUUCAUCAAUCGUGUAGAUUCCAAUCGAAAAAUUGGUCAUGCUUCAGGUACUGGCCCCCUCAGGCGAGUAAGAAAACAAACGGAAGAUGACUUGUUUGUUAGCAUUUGAUGGGACAGUAGCCUCAGUUUGCUGGAAGUAAUUGAAUUGUUUCGAAAGGUGAAAGACAGCUGCAAAUGAAAGAAGCUGAAAUCAGGUCCAACAAUGUCGAUCCAGCCCGGUAGGAAACCCAGCACCCAGAAGUAGGACUCCGGAACACAUACGACGAACAAACGGAGCAAAAUAUGAUACAUCUUGUGUGACAUACAAUUUGGAGUAACAAAGGAAGCUUGAUGAAAUUAUUCCACAUGGACGGUUGAAUGGACGGAAAAAAGUGGUCGGUCGGGACGAGGUGGGAUGUUUGCUCCGAUUUCUACCAGUCUUGACAUUUUAGAUAUCUCUCUGUUUGAUUGAUUUGUUAUUUGAUUUUAUAUUGAAAAUUAGAAGGAAAGCAGUCCGAAAAUUAAA